rnacentral:rRNA from 1 species
AACGAACGCUGGCGGCAUGCCUAACACAUGCAAGUCGAACGAGACCUUCGGGUCUAGUGGCGCACGGGUGCGUAACGCGUGGGAACCUGCCCUUAGGUUCGGAAUAACUCCCCGACAGGGGUGCUAAUACCGGAUAAUGUCUUCUGACCAAAGAUUUAUCGCCUUUGGAUGGGCCCGCGUUGGAUUAGCUAUUUGGUAGGGUAAAAGCCUACCAAGGCGCCGAUCCAUAGCUGGUCUGAGAGGAUGAUCAGCCACACUGGGACUGAGACACGGCCCAGACUCCUACGGGAGGGAGAAGUGGGGAAGAAGGGACAAUGGGCGAAAGCCUGAGCCAGCAAUGCCGCGUGAGUGAGGAAGGACGUAGGGUUGUAAAGCUCUUUUACCCGGGAUGAUAAGGACAGUACCGGGAGAAUAAGCUCCGGCUAACUCCGG